CGGCCACGCGAACGCGCCUGCUGCAGCGGACCAGAGUUGGGUCCGGCCAUCCGAGCAUUCGAGAGCGCCACCGGUCAGCCAGCCAGCAGCCGCCAUGGCGAUCUCCAUGACUAGCGUUAGCAGCCUCCUGCUGGUGUUGACUUUGGCGCUCGGCCCGCCGCAGACCGCGGACGCUGGUCCAGCCGCGGCCGCGACGCACAAGUCCUACUUCCCCGUGGUGGCCACCCCACCCCUGACCCAGGAGCGCAGCAGCGUCUCCAGCGUAGUGCCGUUGAGGGUCAGCUCCGUCCCGCGACCGACGCACGCCUGCGCAGGGAGGCCGGCCACUGUUACUAUGACGGCAGUUGGAGUCGCUUGCCCCAGUGGCUAUGGUCGCUGUGGAGGUUUUUGCUGUAAAAAGUGGUAAUCUCCGGAGCUGCCUGCCGUGGAAACUGACAACGGUCUACUCAGCUGGCGCGCCAUUCAUGGCUGACACCUGUGUCCUUUGCUGACCCCAGCCGAGACUGCAACACCCAGGAGUCGGCGCAGAGGAGCCAGUCCAGCGCGCGAUAUCAUAAUACGCGGGAACGAACACCAUCACCAGCUGAUAGUGAAUCAAGCAACAACAAAUCGGACAUGUUUUUUACCUUCGCCCCAACGAAGGAAUCUUCAGAGGCCUCUCUGGUGUAUUGAAAACUUAAUAAGCCAGGGCAAAUACAACAACGCAGAGGA